rnacentral:tRNA from 1 species
AGAUUUAGUAUAAUUUUAGUAUUGUUUAUUGUCUGUAAAUUGGUUUUUAAUCUUUU